rnacentral:pre_miRNA from 2 species
AACAUGAUUGCUGGGUCAUAUGGUAAGAGUAUGCUUAGUUUUGUAAGAAACUGCUAAAGUGUUUUCCAGAACGACUGCACCAGUUUGCAUUGCCACCAGCAAU